AGACCCAAGGCAACUCAGCUGUGAUUGAGAUAGACAUUGAGUCUUUUGGGAGACAGAAGGGAGGGAGAGUGCCAGUCAAAAGGGUUUCGUGAAGAAGGUUGCAUCUGACUGGGACAGUUAGGCCUCUGUGUACCACUUUAAAAGGAGUUAGGAGCUAUCAUCGCCCUCGUUUCGUGAAGGGCUGACCAGCGACUGAUCAUGGCUACGAUGUAAAGGUGCAGACAUUUUGACCUCCCAUGGGAUAAUUUAGAUGGGCCACAUGGGCUCCAGGGAUGGCUGAAACUCCGUUGGAGCUGCGUCACUGUUCACCUUCUCUCUACCAAAUCCUGCUUCCUCCCUAUCUCUUCCCCAGGUGUUGACUUUUCUAGUAAAUAUCCUCCAUGUCAAAGUCUAUCUCAAGAUCUGUUCCAGGACAACCCCGCCUGCAACAGGGCCCAUUUAUGUUCCAGCCAGCACGGUGAUCCUGAGUCUGGGAGGGUGCCCACAGACUGCUUUUGUGAGCAGCAUGCCUUCAGUGGCCAGUCCCCAAGCCCCUCAACUCCAUGUGGAGCAAGGACCAACCACCCCAUGGAGAAGAGGAACCCGCCUGCAAGGCGAGCCAAGAAGGGACCUUUGGAACCAGCCACACUGGACUCUGUAGGGGGCUGGAUGGCUGGCCCCAAAAGGAUAGGUCCAUGUCCUAAGCCCCAGAACCCGUAAAUAUUGCCUUAUUUGGAAAGAAAUUCUUUGUAGAUGUCAUUAGGGAUUUUGAGAUGAAGAGAUCAUCCUGUAUUAUGCAAGUGGGCCCUCAAUCCAAUGGCAAGUGUCCUUACAAGAGUAAGGCAGGGCUGGGUGUGGUGUCUCACACCUGUCAUCCCAGCACUUUGGGAGGCCAAGGCAGGAGAAUAGCUUGAGGCCAGGAGUUCAAGACUGGCCUGGGCAACGUAGUGAGACCCUCCAUCUCUACAAAAAAAAAAAAAAAAAACAGAAAAAAACCCCACAAAGAACUAGCCAGACGUGGUGGCACAUGCCUAUAGUCCUAGCUACUCAGGAGGCUGAAAUGGGAGGAUGGCUUGAGUCUGGGAGGCAGAGGUUGCAGUGAGCAGUGUUGCGCCACUGCACUACAGCCUGGACAACAGAGCAAGACCCUGUUUCAAAAAGAAAAAAAAGCGGGGGGAGUGAGGCUGAAGGAGAGACACACACCUAGAGAAGAAGGUGAUGUAAAGAUGCAAAAAUAGGGCCAGGCGCAGUGGCUUACGUCUGUAAUCCCAGCACUUUGGGAGGCUGAGGUGGGCGGAUCAUGAGAUCAAGAGAUCAAGACCAUCCUGGUCAACAUGGUGAAACCCCCUCUCUACUAAAAAUACAAAAAUUAUCUGGGUGUGGUGGCGGGCGCCUGUAGUCCCAGCUACUCGGGAGGCUGAGGCAGGAGAAUUGGUUGAACCCAGGAGGCAGAGGUUGCAGUGAGCCGAGAUUGCACCACUGCACUCCAGCCUGGGCAACAGAGUGAGACUCUGUCUCAAAAAAAAAAAAAAAAGAAGAAGUAAAAAUGGGAGUGACAUGGUUACAGCCAAGGAAGCCGAAGAGGCAAGAUGGGAGCCUCCCUCAGAGACUCCAGAGGCAGCACGGCCCUGCCAAUGCCUUGUUUCUGCUUCAGGCCUCCAACGCUGGGAGAAUAGAGUUCUGCCGCUUUUGAAGCCACUCUGUGAGAAUUCCAUACAGCAGUCACAGGAAACUAAGAUAGCUCCCACACCCAGUUUCCACUUCACAACCUUGAGAAGCUGGGGAAGCCGUUCUGGAGGUGCCAGGGACUGGGCACCGAGCCAGCCUGGGCUGGGGUCAGAGGCAAGAGGAGAGCUCUCUAGAGGAAGCCUUUAUCUUGGAGUUUGUUCUUGAGUAGGAAGUGUUCACGGGGCAGGUGGUGGUGGUGGGGCGGCGUGUGCAUAAUUUUCAACAGCCCAGAGAACUGAAUAUCAUGGGGCUGUCUAGAAAUUUUGACUUGCAGAUAUGGCAGGAAUGGGAGGUACCUAGAAGGGAGAGAAGGGAGACAUAACUCAACAGGAGGCCAGGGCCCGGUCGCAGAGGCCACUGCGUGCCUGUGGGAGGCUUGCUCUUGAUGUGAGAUUUUUCUUCUAACUUUGUAUUUUAGAACAGAUUUAAAGUUUCAGAAACGAAUUCCAAGUUUGUAUAGAGUUUAUGUAUACUGUUUCCCCUAAUAUUAGCAUCUUACCUGAGUGUGGGUAUAUUUGUUACAAUUAUUGAACCUAUGUCAGUCCAUGAACUGAACCUAUGUCAGUCAUGAACUGAAGUCCAUAGAUGAUUCAGAUUUCCUUUGUUUUCCCGAACGUCCUUUUCUGGGCCGGGACCCCAUCUAGGACCCCACAUUGCAUUCAGUCGGUGUGUCUCCCUAGGCUCCUCUUGGUUGUGACAGUUUCUCAGACUUUCCUUGUCUUUGAUGACCUUGACAGUUUUGAGGAGACUGUCCUUCAAUUCGGAUUUGUCCCGCGCUUUUCUCACAGUUAGACUGCGGUUGUGGGUUUUGGGGAGGAAGACCACAGAAGCAAAGGGUGAUUUUUACGCCAUCAUAACAAAGGUGUGCCCUGUCACCAUGACUUACCUCUGUUACCGUUGAGCUCGGUCACCCGGCUGAGGUAGUGAGACUUCUCCACUGUAACCCUCCCUUUCCACACUGCACUCUUUGGAAGAAGGUCACUAUGCACAGCCCACACUUAAGGGUGGAAAGUUAUGCUCCAACUUUUUUUUUUUUUUUUUUUUUUU
rnacentral:lncRNA from 1 species